UCUGGUUGACCCUGCCAGUAGCAUAUGCUUGUCUCUGAGACUAAGCCAUGCAUGUCUAAGUAUAAACAAAUUUGUACUGUGAAACUGCGGACGGCUCAUUAAAUCAGUUACAAUCUACUUGAUCGUAUAUUCAAUGAAUUAAUCGGGUAACCCUAGUAAUUCUAGAGCUAAUACGUGCAAAAAACUCUGACCUCUUUUUAAGGGGGAGGAGUGUAUUUAUUAGGUAAAAAACCACUCACCUUCGGGUGUCUUUUGAUGAUUCAUAAUAACUUAGCAAAUCGCAGGCCAAAGCUUGCGAUGAUACAAACGAGUUUCUGACCUAUCAACUUUAGAUGGCAAAGUAGGGGUUUGCCAUGGUGACAACGGGUGACGGGGAAUUAGGGUUCGAUUCCGGAGAGGGAGCCUGAGAAACGGCUACCACUUCCAAGGAAGGCAGCAGGCGCGCAAAUUACCCAAUACUGAUUCGGUGAGGUAGUGACAAGAAAUACCAAUGUAGGACCCAACGGGUACUACGUUUGGAAUGAGUACAAUUUAAAAACCUUAACGAGGAACAAUUGGAGGGCAAGUCUGGUGCCAGCAGCCGCGGUAAUUCCAGCUCCAAUAGUGUAUAUUAAAGUUGCUGCGGUUAAAAAGCUCGUAGUUGGAUUUCGGAGUUGUUAUCUGAACCUCCCCUAAAAAGGUGGCUAGGGUAGCAGUAGUCAUCAUCAAAGUCCACCCUGACUCUUGGUGCGUACUGGGUGUUGACCUCCUUUAGUUCUGUGAAUUGCUAUCUAGCAAUAGGUAGUUAGUUCCAGAUAGUUUACUUUGAAAAAAUUAGAGUGUUCAAAGCAGGCACAACCUGGCAUCAUGAAUACAUUAGCAUGGGAUAAUAGAAUAUGACAUUGGUCUUAUUUUGUUGGUUUCUAAGGCCAAAGUAAUGAUUGAUAGGGAUAGUUGGGGCCGCUCGUAUUGAGUUGUCAGAGGUGAAAUUCUAGGAUUUACUCAAGACGAACUAAUGCGAAAGCAUUCGGCAAGGAUGUUUUCAUUAAUCAAGAACGAAAGUUGGGGGAUCGAAGAUGAUCAGAUACCGUCGUAGUCUCAACCAUAAACUAUGUCAACCGAGGAUCCGGUAGCGUUACAUGGAUGACCUUCCGGGCACUCUGUGAGAAAUCAUAAGUAUUUGGAUUUCGGGGGGAGUAUGGUCGCAAGGCUGAAACUUAAAGGGAUUGACGGAAGGGCACCACCAGGAGUGGAAUCUGCGGCUUAAUUUGACACAACACGGGGAAACUUACCAGGUCCGGACACAGUGAGGAUUGACAGAUUGAGAGCUCUUUCUUGAUUCUGUGGGUGGUGGUGCAUGGCCGUUUUUAGUUGGUGGAGUAAUUUGUCUGGUUAAUUCCGUUAACGAACGAGACCUUAACCUAUUAAAUAGUCAUGUGAACCCAGGUCUUUCAUCCUUUCUUUCUCUCG
rnacentral:rRNA from 1 species